UACGGGGGGGGCAAGCGUUAUUCGGAAUUACUGGGCGUAAAGGGCUCGUAGGCGGCCAACUAAGUCGGAUGUGAAAUCCCCAGGCUUAACCUGGGAACUGCAUCCGAUACUGGAUGGCUUGAAUCCGGGAGAGGGAUGCAGAAUUCCAGGUGUAGCGGUGAAAUGCGUAGAUAUCUGGAGGAAUACCGGUGGCGAAGGCGGCAUCCUGGACCGGCAUUGACGCUGAGUGAGCGAAAGCCAGGGGAGCAAACGGG
rnacentral:rRNA from 1 species